rnacentral:sRNA from 1 species
UGCUUAAUGCUCUAACCGUGGCAAGCUUGGCUGGAAGGCAGGCUACACAUAGCAGGGAAGAGGGUAGACUCCAUGAGGAGAUGGGGCAGGAUCCAGGGUGUGGUAGCCGACUUAGAGCACACUUCCCUUGAAAAUAUGGGACAAAUAUUUAAUAACGAACAUUGGUCGGAGCCACAAGUGAGUAAAGAGCUAGAUGUUUCCAGGCGGUCGCGGGUCUCAGCGUUUGGGUAAUGGCAGCCCUCUGCUUCCAGAGCGUCUGUCCAAUUCGCAGCACAACUUCACAGGGCAGAGGGAUCAAAGUCCGAGAGUUGACAAGCCAGUAAAACUUAAGAAAGGCACCCGCGUCUCAGCCAACUGGGCUGGGAUCCACCACUAGGAUUUAGUUCUUGCAAGAGAGUCAGACUCCAACUCCGGGACAGAAGCAGAGAUGCUCUCUAUAAAGCCGUGGAGGGGAAAAACAGGCUCAGCCCUUGGAAACAUGAGCCUGGCUUCAACUCGACUCUUGGUCGCCGCCGUAUACCUGACUUGGUGAAGAAGAAAGGAAAGCAAACAUCUCCCAGCAGAAUGAUCGAGCGCAAAGCGUUCAAAACUUGCAAUUCUGACAGACAGUCCUCGAGGGAAGGUGGGGUUCAUGGUUUUUGAGGGGUUUUUGCCCAUCGUGAUAUGGGAAGGACAGAAGAGAAGUUCAGGUCAGGGUGGUCAAAGCUGCUGAUACUGCCACAGACCAGUGUGCAGAGUGGUCAGGACCCUGAGCUGGGGGAAUGGUCAAAGGCACACUCCUAGAGACCAACUUGUGCUCGCUGAUCCCUGCCUCUUGAAAGUUCCACAGCCUCUCAGAAUAGUGCCCCCUGCUGGGAAGGAAGAAUUCAAGACGUGAACCUGGCGGGUGGGGCUUGGGGGGUGGAUUUCAGAUUGAAACUAGAACAGAAGGCCCAGAAAAGGGAGGUCGGUGAGAGUCUGUAUUCUUAAUUCAGGACGGCUUACAAAUAUGACUAGUUAAUUUAUAAGAUGUAAACUAAUACUUAAAAAAAAAAGAAUUUAGCAAACCAGACAGGGAAUUUCAGGACGGCAGUGACCUUUGUGCUUGCUGAGGCAUCGUAGGCGACAGUCUGCUGGAGUCCGGGAAGCCAUCUGCAGCUAGAGGGACCCUGCAGCUAGGGGGACAAUGAGCUGUCUGUCUCCUCCUCUACCUCCAGCUCUCCCUUGAGGGUUUGCGUUGGCAGAAUCUAAGCAGGAAUUUCUGGGAAAUUUAGUUUCCAGAUGUUACAGCCCCUGUGAGUCAGGACACAGAAGGGGAAAGAGCUACCAUGGCCACGGGGCCCAAGUGAAAGACAUCAAUUAUUUUAGGGUGAUGUCAGAGAAAGUGGGUCGCAGUGGAAAUGGAGCUCGGCGAGGCCGAGUCUGGGUGGAAGGACUGUGGGGAAGCAACACCCCUGCAGACAGGAACUGUGAGACACGCUAGGCAGAGUGACAAGGAGGUUGAAAUGCCACAACCUUCGAGAGUGACAGAUGCUCUUUGUUUUAAAGAGCUCAGUAGCGUGUAUAUAGAAAAUAAAGGCACCGUGGAUGGGACAAGGGGACUGUAAGAACCUGUCCCCCACUCUUGCUGAUAGUUUGAAAGCAUUCUGUGAAAUAAAUAUUCUUCUUCCAGACUAGGCAAAAAUGAAAACGGUUAGCAUUUGGACCUCGGUGUUGGAACUGGAGGUUAGAAGGUAGAAAUGUGGGAGGGAGUUAGACCAGAAGUUGACGGAACUUGGCAAGGUGAGUAGCAGGAGGAAGGCAGGAGCAACCAGGACUCCACAGUCUGUGGGGUGCGUAGCAUUGUGAACGGGCACCAUGAAUUGAGACAUGGCCAUAAAAAAAGUCGGAGCAGUUCCCUUUGGGAUGUGUUCUGUGUUAGGAUGUGAAACUACAGACAUCAAUAAUCAAGACAGAGGUGGUGGUGUGUCGUGUCCCCCCCACCCGCUUCCUGCUGAACAUACAUGACACCUUUGCAUACAAAGGGAAGUAUAACUCUCUACGUGUGAGUUUGGCCACAGUCACAGAAAAGAACUGAUUGAUAUCUAUCAAAGAUAUUUCCCCAUCUUAUUCCCCGAUGGAGCUUGAUGCUUGAAAUCCAACACGUGGUACUUCAAACUCCUGGCUUUAAGUUAAGGCACCUUAAAGGUUUGUGCUGCCCAUCUACCUGUGGUGUGGCGUGCUGAGACUUGCUUUGUCACACGUACCCUGAAAACAAUCAGUGCAUAUACACACACUAGUGCUGCUAUAUGGCCAGAGCUCGCAGCAUGGCCUAUUACAUGAUUUUUCCAGAAAGAUGAUAACAGGCAUCACACCAGACAGGGCAUCAGUGUCAGGUCACAGAAAUUACUCUACUAAAUUCCAGCUUGAGGAACCAAGGAAUCUUUUGGGGUUAUAUACAGCAACGUAGCAAGGGGCUCCUUGAAAGAACCUGAGUGGCUUAAAAGCAGCUGUACCCCCCAAAAUGACCCACCAGAGCUUCGUCCCCGGGACUCCCCACCUAUCUCAAAGGUAACCCCUUAGAGAGUCUCGUCUUGAGCAACAAUUAAUUAUUGCUUAUAUAACCCAGAGUGGGGCCUGUCCUGUUAACUUCUGCUGUCAACCUGACAGCCCAGAGUCAUCUCAGAGAGGCUCCAUUGGGGAAUCAGAUCGAUCAAAUUGUCCUGUGGCCAUGUCUAUGAGGAAGUCUUUUAGUUGUGGAUUAUUGUCAGAGGGCACAGUCCCCUGUGGGUGGUGCCAUUCCUUAGCAGAUGGUUCUGGGCUAUCUAACAAAGCUGGCUGAGCAUGAGGGAGAGAGAGAGAGUAAACCAGCAUGCAGUGUUCCUCCAUGCAACUCUGCUCCAGAUUCCUGCCUCUCGAGAGGUCCUGCACCGGCUUCCCUCCGAGAUGAACUUCUACCUGGGAGUGUCUAUUGGAACAAACACUUCCCUCCCCAAGUUGUUUUUGGUCAUGGUGUUUAACAGAAUGACAUAAAGGAAGCUAGAGGAAGGCAUAUUCCUACUAAGUCUUGUAAGCUUCCUGGGCCUGCUAAAUUUUAUGGGUUUGUGAGUUUUGCUAGCUCCUUGUGUCUUAUGAGCUCCUGUCCUCUCUUAACUCUCCAGGAGGACAUGUUUCAGUUCGGGGGCAAUAGCUACACAGUAGUGCCCAUGAUGAGCCAGAGCUAGAAGAAUCACUGGCCCCUACAUAAAGCCCUGAUUGUCAGAGAGACAGGAGGUCUUCAUGAGUCUGGGGAAACUUGCUGUGACUUACUUUGUCCUCUGUCUUCAUAGGCUCCCUGCCUGCUCUAUCUAUUUUUUCUUCUAUUUCUUUAACAACUUGAUUGUUGAAACCCCAGGAAAUUCUAAGCCCAUUUCUCCCAUCAAAAUGAAAGGAACUUAUUGAUGAAAUCAUGAGUCCAUUAAGAUUGAGUGGUACAUCUCCAUUAGGGCCACGAUUUGCAUCAUAAAACAGAUUAACAUGAAAGGUGGAAGCACUCUUCUUGGAGAGGAAAUGCACAAAAGAAUCUUUUAGGGCCUUCCGAAUUAAAGCAGAAUAAACACUCCACCAGGCACAGAGAGAAGGCAAGGGACAGGGGGGAAGGUUUCGACAGAGCCAAGCAAGACUGAAGACCUGCAGCCACAUAAGUGGUGUGACUCAUAGCUUAGUUGUGGGUAGACAGCAGAAGCCAGGGAACAUUCGGAGCUGAAAGAAACACUCGUAUUAAACAUUCUGCUGGAGCAAGGGUUCCCACUGCAGUGUGCUUACAGAGCCCUGCUCUGAAGUAUGCCUGGGCCGGCCGUUCUCGCUACUUUAAUGGAGUUGCUGAGAACCACCCUCUUGCCCGGCUAAGAGCCUGUGGUUCUGAGUGGAUGAGAGUGCUGUUCUCCUCAACCUUCCUCAGAAUGUUGAGAGGACAGUUCUGUGACAAGAGCUUUGCCAUGUGGCCUCCCCAGGAAUCUAGAUUGUUCCGGAUGAUCAAAGGAUAAUGAAAUAAACCCUACAUUAAUAGAGCACAGGGUUCUGGGAGUGUGUUGGGGGGCGGGGAUGACGUCUUCUCUUGCCUAUCAAGCUGGUGCUGUUUGUGUGUGUAUCACUUGCUUAGCAGCAUCAAGACCUUUAGCUAAAAGGAGAGGCUGGCUUAAAGGAUUGGAGCACCCGGGGGAUUCGCUGUUUGAUGGAAACAGGUCAGAGAAAGGAGCAAGAGAAUGAUCGGCCGUCUUACUCUUCUGGUGGGGUCUCUUUGCUCAUGUGUGAGAGGCAGUUCAUGCCAGCUCACAGACAUCAAGCAGAAUUUCUUCCUAAUUCCCCCACUCAGUGACUUCAUAGGAGGUUGGCACUGGCUAGGAUAGGAAUGUUUACAUUGCCAGAAUUGGCAGAUGUCACAAACCAGGGUGUUUUUUUCUCCCCUACUGUGGUUGCCUUGUUUUCUCCCCUAGAAAAUUUAUCGUUAAAUAUUUAUCAGCAUUCUCCUGGAAUUUGAUUGAAAGAUAAUUUGGCCAUCAAAGCAGCCACACGGCCUUCUGAAACUCUGGCUGAAAGCUUUCUGAGCACAGCAAGGGUCAAACAAGUGACCGGGCGGAGCUCGGCGGAAUUUGGAAAAAGGGAAAGGAUUCUUGGAAUACACGCCUGUGUGACAUACUCACCCAUGAACACUCACCUGAGGGUCAGUGCUCACAGGGUGACAUGGUAGGCACCUCUCGAAAGUUGUAAAGGGACCUUUAGGAAUGUGGCCACGAGAUGGACACUACUUAGACAUGAUGUGGGCCUCUUUCUCAUUGGACCAGGGACUUCAGAUAAAGGAUAAGACCCAGGAGGCUGGGCCUCAGAAGGACCAAUUUACAGGGCAUUUUGAUAGUGAACCAAUUAACCUCUUCUACCUAUAGGGCUCAGACAAAAGAUAGUUGGGCUCAGGAUGCAUUCUGGGAGCACUGCCGCGUGUGGGUGGUAAUGAUGUGUCAGAAGUUCUUUUUCAGAUGGGCUAAGUAGACUCCAGUCCUAUAUGGAAUGUCCGAGGCUGUGUCAGAGAAACACAAAGGUCUCUUCUGCCUCCCUUCCUGGGUUCUAGGAUUCUUCUGAAAAGAACCCUAAUGCUAACUAGAAGGUAGAAGAGUGGAAGCCCAGACACAGAUUAAGGAGUACACAUAGGUUCGGCCACAAUGGAGAUCAGGGAGGGAGGAUCUUCAACAAACUAAGAAAGAACCAGUGUAUGGCCCACUACAGCGUGUCCAGGUUAUUUACCUGAGGGACCGUAAGCCAACCUAUCACCCUGUGAACACUGCUGUGAGUUCACAAUUAUGGCUGAGUUAUGUACGGAAGCAAGAGAAGCGUCCGUCAACAAAUGACAGGGUUAAAUGGAGUGUGUGUGUAUAACGAAACUUUAGUCAGCUCUAAGGAAGAGCAGAAUCAUGCUGUUUGUUGAAGAACGGGUGUGACAGAAACUAACUAUAUGAAAUAAGUCAGCAAGAUAAGUGUCACACAUUUUUAGUCCUUUUGCACAUCCUUGGGUACACACACACACACAACACACCCUCACACACACUAAGGAAAAAAAAACUGGCUUCGAAGGACAAAAGGAGGCUACGAAAGGAAACAUAUUUGUUCGACUUUGAGGAAGAAGCCGAUUUGUCUGAAGGAGUCUGGGGACAGCCCUGCCUUUGUCUGAUAAGCCCUCUCUGCAAGUCCCUGUAAGCCAUAUGUGUUUAAGAUGUAGAGGAUCAGCUCAGGGGAUCAGCGCACAGCCCUGGAAGCGUUAGCAUGCGCUUCCUACUUUAAGCAGCUGUCUGGCAAAAUGGUCUGUCACUGUCAUAGGGCAGCCGAGCAUGAGAGUGCUUUGACAGUGCGAGUCUGUCUCAAUCCUUCCACCCAAACUCAAAGGAACGUCUUCCCAAAGGCCGAGGGCAGCCAUUCUUUGCAGCGGGAGUAAGCUCGGCUGAUGGCUUAAUCUGGAAGCCAAUUGGCUUUCAAGGAGACAUAACUCACUCCAUAUUUAGAGAAACGUUUGGAGUCUAUUGGGACUGCUUCGGGAGGGGAUUUGAAAACUUUGAAAAGGAACCUGAUAUGAACACUGACCGACUGGAAGACCUUCUGUCUUUCACAAGUGGGCACGUACCUGGCAGCCCUUGCUGGCUUGGCUUCAACUCCUAGAUCCCGGAUCAUGGAAGCCCUGGAGGGUCUGGCAGUUGGUUCCGGAGUCAACAAGAAGCAGGCAGCCACCACCAACCUAGAAGUAUUAUCAUGGUUUAACAGCAAUCCAAGCAAUGUCUCUGCUCCUGAAAUGGAACCUGGGCCUUGUUGGACGACGUGGGACAAAGGAGAGAGGCAGGUCCACUGUGGGGUCUGUCUGUGUUUAUAUGGUUGGCAGAGCGCGCUUUGAUGUCACCCUGAUGACGUCUGUCAUCUUCCCCACACCUGCUAUGGCAUGGCUGCCUUCAGUCACAAGCCUGAUUCACAGCACACUCUAUGUUUAGCAGCGCUCUGAGAAGGAUUCCAGUCUGCCUUCAGCCCUAAAUAGCUACAAAUAUCAGAGUAGCAGCGGCAGCCCUUCAAAGGCCUUUUUGGGAAGUGUCAUGCCAGAGAUGGGGUGACACAGAGGAGCCCCAGAAAGAAGCAAGAUGUCACCUGGAAACUGGAGGGAAAAAGAAGAAAUGAACCAGCGUCGACUGCUAAGAAGGUGAAGAAAUGAACCAGCGUCGACUGCUAAGAAGGUGAAGAAAUGAACCAGCGUCGACUGCUAAGAAGGUGAUAAAGUUGACCAUCUGUUCCUCAGUUACUUAUAGCACGGUCAUCGUCUGGAAAGUUGGAGACAAUGACUAGAAGACAAUGAAGGGACGAAAUACAAGGUGUCUGGUGCAGACUGAUAUGGCCAGGCACGUAAUUAAUGCCUCUUUAAAAGUGAACAAAAGCAGAGCAAGAAGUAAAAAACAAAGCGAUUACGCAUCAGCUGCUGAAACACUGUGUCCUAGCUUAAACGAGGCUGGAAAAAUGCUUCCACAGAGAACAGGAUGCUUGAGGACUCUAGCCUUUUCCCGGAGGGGCUGUAAUGGCUCCAGCCUCGCAGACGGGCUGCGCAGCGGCGCCAGCGAGCUCUGCUGCCCCCUGCUGGACGGAACGCGGGACUCGCGCCAGCCAGUCUGCGAGGCUCCCGCUGGCUCCCUGGGGACCCAGCACUCCUCCAGCAGGUUAUGCAACACCAGCUCACUUCAGGAAAGGAAACCAUCGACUUCAUGGAGCUUCCAAUGAGCCAGUGUUAAGAGUAAGGCGGAGACUAGAAAAUAGCACGCAUGUGUCCAGCCUUGGAGGCGCGUGUGUAAGGGGAGUGGACUAACUGAAAGGAAGCAGUGUAAAGAUUAGCCGCAGGGUAUGGUCUUCUAGUGACGCCGCACCUCAUGACCAGCUACUGACAUGGUGGGCGGCAGUGCUUCAUUUCCGGAGUGCAGCCCCAUCUUCUAGCUCCUUCAAGGUUAUAGAUCUUCUAGCUGUGUGACCUUCAAGGUUUUAAACUCUGACUGUUGGUGAACCAUAUCCAGUGGGUUGGUCUUUCCUAACAAGACACACAGUGAAGGCUUUAUAGAGAGGCAUAUUAAGGUGGAGCAGGGCUAUUCCCUCCUUUUACUGUUCAGAAAUAAUAAACAUUUUGAUAUUUCCAGUAUUCGUCCGGAUCACCAUAUCUUUAGAGGAAUUUUUCUUCUAUUUGGACCGACCCUUUGGAGUUUUACCUUUUGGGGUUUUACUGAUGUGAAGGAGGGGUCGUGGUGGUGGUGGCCGUUCACUCUUGUCCAAUCUGGAUGUGGAUUAAUGGUGUUUUCCAGCCCAUAAAAUAUUUUAAAAUUUUUAUUUCACACGGGGUUAUGAAGCAUCGCUGCCUUUACGACAGCUCGACUGGAACUUUCAAAAUUAAAAAUGACAGGAACUGAAAGUUGUCAUAGAGAUUCCAAGGCACUACCAUUCUCUUAUUCUGUAGACGAUGUUCUGCGCUUUUCAACCAAGUAAGAAUAGAUCUCUGGAGAUGAGAAGAUGACCACCACGUGUCUUUUCCCAGUCUUUGGAUGGUACCUUUCACAUCCUGGAAGGGAGAAAGCUGAGUCACCACCACAGAGUCUGAACCUGAUUAUCAUAUUCAGUAGCCACUGCCAAGCAUACAUUAGCACCUCUCCCAGAACUACUCUCUGUCUGCACAGGGCACCUGGACACUCUGCUCAUGAGAAUGCAAUACCCAACAUGAGUCAAGAAAGCCCAAAGACGUCCACCCUGAUCUGGUGAUAGAUGACACCUGACCUCCUUAGCCAAUAUGCAGACUGAGACUGUAUCUGGCAGAGUUUCUGGCUGCAGAACCCUUGACCGUCAGAAGUGAAUGAAAGUUUGGUAAGCUGUGCUGGAGCACUGCCAGUGUGCGGUGCUGUGAGCCGCCCUCACAGGAUUUCAGGGAAGAACUGUGGGGAGGAGGCACUGAAUGCCUUAGAUGCAGCGGGGAGAAAACCCUUCCUCCUACACCCUUAAAACAGAGCGAAAGGAAACAAAAUAAUAAAACUAAUAACAAAAUAACAAAAUAAUACCCCCCCACAAGCUACACCCUUACUUUUCUGGUCUCACCUGCUGCUUUCCUUAGGAGAUAGUUUCAAUGGAAAAGAUUCUAAAGUUCAUGUGUUCGAAAGCUUCUUGACCUUGCAGUUGGCGAUGAUCUUUGGGGGGUUAUGGAACUGUGGCUGGGGUCACUGGGAGCCAGGUCUUUGGGGUCACAGCUCUGCCCUAUUUUUGGACCCAGUCUCUCUGUGUGUCAUCUGUCAAGAAGUGAGCAAGCUCUCCUACACUCCUUCUGCUCUGGUUCACCUCCACCAAUACCCGUACUCUCAACCCAGGGGUGAAAAUUCCUUUCUCCUUCAGUGUGCUUCUUCCUGGGCAUUUGGUAGCAGCAAUUUCAAAAGCUAAGCUACCUUACUAGUAUGAGCUUCAGUGGUUUACACCAGGUAGGUCGAGGGAAAGGUAAAACUUGGGAUUUGCUCAAAACAUGGCCACACACACACACACACCUGAUGCUCGACACACACAGCCAGGCACACCUGAUGCCAGAAAGGGUGAGGUGGGGAUGUCAGAAAGUCCUGGGAGGAACCCAGGCUGUGUUCUAGGCACAUAUCUAUAGCUCAUAGUUUGUGUGUUCUUGGAAGACACAGAAGUAUUAUAAACUCGUAAAUAGAAUUGCAUAAGACUGUACUCAUGACAUAAAUGAUUCCUCACACGAGCGAACCAAGAAAGCCCAAAGAUGUCUACCCUGAACUGCAGAUAAAACAUCAUCAGACCUCCUUAGUUAGACGCCGCUGACACACAUUCGGAGAUCUUAUCCGGCAGAGUUUCCAGGCGUACGGAAGGUGGAUUGAGUUCAGGAUGAAUGAACUAUUGAACAGUGGAGCUCAGGGAGUGGGCGAUGGAUUAGUGGACAAAAAUAGCCCUGGACACCUGUGUAAAUCCUUGGUGAUCUGAUCUACGCCAUAAAAACCAGACAGUGGGCAUCUGUAACUCAUAAUAAGUCCUUUCUAACAUCACUGAGGUUAUCUUAAAGAGCCUCUUGGUGCUCCCCUCCCCCAUAGCUUUAGAGUGGGGCCAGGCUGCUAACUGCGCCAACGCUGCAUUUGGAGGGCUGUGACUUGCAGCCUGACCUCCUGGAACUGAGUGGAGCAGCAAUCAACAAUGACUUUGUAAGCUGAUCCCUGCUACAGACCGUACAAAAUCCUCAACGGGGAGAGCUGCUUACCUACAGAGGUCACAGGAGCUCUGUGCUCACCACCCCUAAUGCCCGUGUUCCUUGAAGUUGGCUGUUCCUGAGUUGUAUCUUUUGAAGUGAACUGACAUUGAUUCCUUUGGAAACUUGGAUGGCAUCGUUUAAUCUGUGGAGUGGGAAAAAGGAGACGAAGGAAGGAAGAGGAGAGGAGACCAUAAACUCCCAAAGAGCCAUGCCCUGUGUACCAGGGUUGCAGACCUAACAUUCUAAUGAACAAAUAAAAACCUCUGGAAUGUCUGAACUUGACGAUUCUGUUGACACACCAACGGAAAGGUAAGAACGCAGCCAGGUAACACCCGAGUCCAGUAGUUGAGAUUCUCCCGUCUUGCUUAAACACAGCUCUCUGACGUUUCCGCAAAUAUAUUUUAAGUUGUCUUGUUCUGUUGCUACAAAAGCUGCCUUGCAUGAAAUAGCUUCUACAUGGGGACAUUGAAUUAAGGGAGAUGUAAAUCUGUCUCUUGGCCCAUCAUCUGUCACAUUUUGCUCCAUAACAAACCGUGUCUUUUAUUCCUUUGAGAUGGGGCUGAGCGGCACCUGUCAGGUUCCUUAUGUGCACCGUGGAAAUAAGUGACAGAGCACCUAAAAGCCCCAGAACGCUAUGCAUCUGUCGUUAAGAUGGGCAGAAAUGACGAAAACCACAGUCAGUGAGGCAGACGUCAGUCACUAGCUGUUACCUGACGUCGAGUCCCCCUGCCUUGUCCUUAAAAAACAGACUAGAUUUCCAUAUGAGUGAGGAUGGAUAUAGCUUUAAGACUGAAACAUCCAACUUGCCCUGAGUGACCAUGAUGGAGGCAAGGGAAUGCUGGGAGAUUUUGAGGAAGACAGUCCUAGGGCAGCUGCCUGCACCAGGAGUGAACUGUGAGGUGUCCUCCUUUCUUCUUGUCACAGAAAAAAGCGUCGAAGUCGAUAGAUGUUAAGGUCAAGACCGAGCAGGCUGUUUCGGGGGUGCAUAGAUUUGAACUCUUCGUCGAUGUCCCACUAAUAUAAUCUUCAGAGUUCCUCUCUAGUCUCUGUAUCCCGUCCACGUGUUUAUGAAAGUCCAGCCCUUGCUUUACAGGCAGAGACGCUAAGGAGCUUAAACUAAUUUUGCCUUGAAUCCAAACAGUUGCAUCUUUCGCUCACACCGAGAGAACUCGGUGUCACCCCAAACAUAGAGACUACUUCCUAUACAUGAUUCUGGAAUGUUCAAAUACUUAAAUAAAUGUAGACCUUUAAAACUGCUAGCACUCUGCCUAGGCUCCGCCCCACAGUUACCUGGCAACGGCCAGGUACGCCUGACUCAUUAUAAAAGGAGCUGCUCGUGUGUCCGCCCCCUCCACUCUUGCUCUUGCCUUUUUGCUCCCACUCUGUCCUCUCACCUCUUCACUCCUCUCUCCCCAUUCCCCUCCU